CCGUCUAUUCUACUUCUUCAUCUCACCCAUACCUGCAACCCUAACCUGCCAUCGCCGCCAGUGAAAGCUCAAAUCACCACAAAUUCAACCAUGCAACUGUGACCCCUCCCUGAGUCAUAAUCCAAUUUUGUUCUCCCCGAAUCCUAUCCAAACCAAACAAGGUUUGAAUCUCAAUCAAAGGAAGUAGAUCAUCGAAGUUUGAAAGUUCUUAUAAGCUAUUAGGCUUGAAACGGGUAUUGCUUGUUUGUUCUUGAAAGAACAUGCGGUUAAUACCAGUUUCACGUCGAAUCGAAGUCGCC
rnacentral:lncRNA from 1 species